UGCGUAGGUGGUCUUUUAAGUCCGUUGUGAAAUCCCUGGGCUCAACCUGGGAAUGGCAGUGGAUACUGGAAGGCUAGAGUGCGGUAGAGGGUAGUGGAAUUCCCGGUGUAGCAGUGAAAUGCGUAGAGAUCGGGAGGAACACCAGUGGCGAAGGCGGCUACCUGGACCAGCACUGACACUGAGGCACGAAAGCGUGGGGAGCAAACA
rnacentral:rRNA from 1 species